AGAUUGAACGCUGGCGGCAUGCCUUACACAUGCAAGUCGAACGGCAGCGCGGGGCAACCUGGCGGCGAGUGGCGAACGGGUGAGUAAUAUAUCGGAACGUACCCAAGAGUGGGGGAUAACGUAGCGAAAGUUACGCUAAUACCGCAUACGAUCUAAGGAUGAAAGCAGGGGACCGCAAGGCCUUGUGCUCCUGGAGCGGCCGAUAUCUGAUUAGCUAGUUGGUGGGUAAAGGCCUACCAAGGCAUCGAUCAGUAGCUGGUCUGAGAGGACGACCAGCCACACUGGGACUGAGACACGGCCCAGACUCCUACGGGAGGCAGCAGUGGGGAAUUUUGGACAAUGGGGGCAACCCUGAUCCAGCAAUGCCGCGUGCAGGAAGAAGGCCUUCGGGUUGUAAACUGCUUUUGUACGGAACGAAAAGGUCUGGGUUAAUACCCUGGGCUCAUGACGGUACCGUAAGAAUAAGCACCGGCUAACUACGUG
rnacentral:rRNA from 1 species